UGAGGCUAGCUUGUAAAAACCAAAUGUGCUA
rnacentral:piRNA from 1 species